UAUAUUUGAGAGUUUGAUCCUGGCUCAGGAUGAACGCUGGCGGCGUGCCUAACACAUGCAAGUCGAGCGAUCUCUUCGGAGAGAGCGGCGGACGGGUGAGUAACGCGUGGGUAACCUGCCUAAUAUCUUUGAAAGCGAUUCAGCUUUAUGUGAUGAAUUUAAAAUACAAGUAGAAGGAACAAGAGAUGGAUUAUUAGAGUUAAUAGCUGAAACAGAUGAUGAAUUAUUAGAAAAAUAUUUUAGUGGAGAAGAUUUGACAGAAGAAGAUAUUAAGAGAGGUACAACUAUAGGUAUUCAAAAUGGAGAUAUAAUACCAGUUAUAUGUGGAUCUACAAUAAACAAUGUAGGUACAGAGGAGAUAUUAAGAAUUAUAUCUAGCUAUAUUCAACCUAAGUGUGUAGAUGAAAAUGAUAAGUUAAAUGGAAGCAUAUUUAAAACUAUAGUAGAUCCUUUUAUAGGAAAAAUGUCAUACGUUAAAAUAUUACAAGGAAACAUAAAAAAAGAUGUAGAAGUAUAUAAUGUAAACAAGUCUGUAAAAGAAAAAAUUUAUAAUAUAUAUACUAUGAAUAAUAACGAGUUAUCUGAGAUACAAUGUGCUAAUGCAGGUGAUAUAGUUGUUAUGACUAAGGUAAACUCUUUGCAGACAGGAGAUUUUAUAUCUAUAAAUAAAAAUGAUAAAGCAGAUGAACAACUCAACUUCCCUAAACCUCAAAUAUAUUUUGCAUUACAAGCUAAAAAUAAAGGUGAUGAAGAUAAAAUUAGUGCUGUUUUAAGUAAAAUAUCAGAAGAAGAUCCUACGAUUACAUGGAGUAGAAAUGUAGAAACUAAACAAGUUUUAAUUGGUGGGCAAGGUGAGCUUCAUAUAAAUAUAGUUAAAAAUAAAAUGAAAGAAAAAUUUGGUCUAGAUGUAGAUUUAACAGAUUUAAAAGUUGCCUAUAGAGAAACUAUAAAAGGGAGGAAGGUGGGGAUGACGUCAAAUCAUCAUGCCCCUUAUGCUUAGGGCUACACACGUGCUACAAUGGGUGGUACAGAGGGUUGCCAAGCCGCGAGGUGGAGCUAAUCCCUUAAAGCCAUUCUCAGUUCGGAUUGUAGGCUGAAACUCGCCUACAUGAAGCUGGAGUUACUAGUAAUCGCAGAUCAGAAUGCUGCGGUGAAUGCGUUCCCGGGUCUUGUACACACCGCCCGUCACACCAUGGAAGUUGGGGGCGCCCGAAGCCGGUUAGCUAACCUUUUAGGAAGCGGCCGUCGAAGGUGAAACCAAUGACUGGGGAGAAGUCGUAACAAGGUAGCCGUAUCGGAAGGUGCGGCUGGAUCACCUCCUUUCU
rnacentral:rRNA from 1 species